UACGUAGGGUGCAGGCGUUAAUCGGAAUUACUGGGCGUAAAGCGUGCGCAGGCGGUUUGCUAAGACAGGUGUGAAAUCCCCGGGCUUAACCUGGGAACUGCGCUUGUAACUGAUAGGCUUGAGUGUGGCAGAGGGGGGUGGAAUUCCAGGUGUAGCAGUGAAAUGCGUAGAUAUCUGGAGGAACACCGAUGGCGAAGGCAGCCCCCUGGGCUAACACUGACGCUCAUGCACGAAAGCGUGGGGAGCAAACAGG
rnacentral:rRNA from 1 species